GCUGGACCCUCUGCUGGAGGGCAGGCUGACUGUGGAGGGAUCGGAGCUCAGCAUAAAGAAGGUCCAAGUGGCAGACUCAGGUGUCUUCAAAGUGACAGACCUGGAUGGGUUUCCCGUGGCUCAUGUCUACAUCGAGGUAGAAGAGCCUGCAGCCUGUAGCCCAUUCAACAUAUUGUGGUGGAUGUUUUCUUGUUAGCAGCAGGAGUGCGUGUCAAAAAACACAAGAUAAAACUAAUAAAGACUAUUUGAGAAAUAAACCAAAGUUUGGUCUUUGAGUAUUUAUUUACAUUUGCAAAUGCAGGAAAAUAAUUUCACAGGUACCAAAGCACAACUGAAAGAGUCUUCUCCAAAAAUAAAGUUCAGCACCUCUUUAUAGUAGAAAACCCAGUUAAAGCCACCCCUCUUUAGGAUGUCUUUAGCAGGGACAAUUAGUUGCAUCAACAUAAACAGUCAAAUCAUUUUACAACCUUCCCUUCUGGUCCUGUUCCUAACAUUAGUCACAACACCUCUUAAUCUCAGCUGCCAGGAACAGGAUGGAUCCAUCUUAAGAGACACAGUUCACAUUUGUUUAUGGCCUAUUUCACCCUUAUCUGCUAAAAUUAAAAUAGAAUGAGAGACGGAGGUCCUCUAAUGAAAAUAACUUCAAAUGGGCUCAAGGUUUACGAUUUCAGCUGUUUCACUUGGAGACUCUGAGUCUACCAAAAUGUAGGAAUAUAAAGGAAAUCAAGUAUAAUAAUCAUGUUAAAAUAACCUUUUGCCAUUACAAUAUCACGCAACCGUAAUUUCGAAUUCUGUAAAGUUGUCAGAGGUGUGUUUGAUUGAACUCCUGACAAACAAAUCAACUUUACCAAGAUGCAUUUUCAAAGUUUUAUCGCAACAGCAGCAGGAGAAGGAUUAAUCUCAGACGCCAGCCAACGUCAUGAGGAGGAUCCCACACUGCAAAUGUCCUGAGCCCAGAUCAGGUCUUGGUCUGUUGCCCAUUCCCUGAUAUGUUC